rnacentral:rRNA from 1 species
UACGUAGGAUGCAAGCGUUGUCCGGAAUUAUUGGGCGUAAAGAGCGCGCAGGCGGUAUGACAAGUCAGAUGUGAAAGAGGCCGGCUUAACCGGCAAGGGUCAUUUGAAACUGUCAGACUAGAGUGCAGCAGAGGAUAGUGGAAUUCCCGGUGUAGUGGUGAAAUGCGUAGAUAUCGGGAGGAACACCAGUGGCGAAGGCGACUAUCUGGGCUGCAACUGAUGCUGAGGCGCGAAGGCUAGGGUAGCAAACAGG